CCAUUUUAUUUUUGUUUCUAAAUUGGAAGUAAAAGUUACACAGACUAAACUCACUGAACUGAGGUGGAGGGAGGGAAAGAUAGGAAAAAGGCACAGAAAGACAGAGAUAAAAGAGGAGAAAGAAGAGAAACACAUAGACAUAAAGGAAGACAGAUGACAAAAGAAAAUCUUGCCUAUAUAAAAAAGGAGGUGGUUUAGUUCUUUGUGUUUUACCAACAGGACCUUGGUAUCAUUGUGCCACUCAGUUUACUUUCAACUUCAGACUCUGUUCAUCAAAGAAGAUAAAACAAUGAAAGUCAAUUUCUUUGCAUCUUCUUUUUACCCCUCCCUUUCUUGUCUUUUUCCAAUAAAUUCUCUCUUCUCUGA